UUAAAUUAUUUUCUAAUUCUUCAACAUCAUGUCAGUUGAACUAAAUGGCAUGUCAAUCAGGCCUCCCCUCAUUCCGCACCCAGACACUCCCUGUUGCUAAUUUGAGAUGGACAGCAAUAACCCUCCCUGGUGCCUGAGAGCCUAAAUCUCAGUAAUUGUCAUGGGGGUUUGGUGAUAGAAAUGAACACUCACCGUUCAAUCCAAAGACCAGGAGUUUGCAUAGUACUUAAAGGUGGCAAAUACACUCUAGCACAGGGGUCUCAAGCUCCAGUCCUGGGAGGGCACAGUCUCUUCUAGUGUUUGUAAUUUCCUUUCAAUCAGAAGCUACUCCUUAGGCAAUCAUUUAUUAAUAAAUCAAUCAUAAAUUAUGGCAAUGCACUAGCAGUGAAGCACCCCAUGAUCUGAAAAUGAGUCCUUGCCAUUGCAAAUCAGGACAAAGACCUGCUGCAUUCUGGCACCUUGCUCUUCUUCUUCUUGAUGAUGAUGAUGAUGACAGUGAUGAAGAGCAGAACUGUGGCCGUGAUCGAUGCUCCUGAAAUCUGGCGUUGUGCUGAUUCUGGCUGUGAGUCUGCAGAAGUCAAGGACAUUUACAGCAGAGUUUAGGUGUAGCGGUGUCCCUCUCUCAACUCUUCGGCACUGACGCUCAGGCUCAUCCUCAGUUGGUACGUCCCGUCUCCAUUUGGCAGAAUAUCACCUCCGAUCAGCUUUUGCUCCGGAACAGGCUGGUUAUCCCUCUUCAACGUCAGCUCGAUGUGUCGGGGGUAGAAUCCUGUUGCCAGACAGGUUACCUCUACCCCACCAGCACCGCCAACUUGUUUCUGAAAAACUCUAAUCCUGGGACUCACUGGGGGUAGGAGAGUGGAAGGAG